AUGGCCUUGCCGGCGAUCCCCGACGAGCUCCUGGUGGAAAUCCUCCUCCGCCUCCCCACCGCAGCCGACCUCAUCCGCGCCUCGGCCGCCUGCGUCUCCUUCCGCCGCCUAAUCGCCGGCCGCUCCUUCACCCGUCGCUUCCGCAAGCUCCACCCGCCGCCCCUUCUCGGCUUCCUCGACACAGGGCGGCUUCGCUUCCACCCCGCCGUCCCGCCUCACCCCUCCGCGCCCGCGGCCAGGGCCGUCGCCAGCGCCGCCGACUUCUCCUUCGACUUCCUCCCCUCCCCUUGCUCCUCGCGGCCCUGGUCCGUGCAGGAUGUGCUUGACGGCCGCGUACUCCUCGAAAGGCCCCGCCCCCGCCGUCGCGAAUCUCCCUCCAAUGAGAUGGUCGUGUGCGACCCCUUGCACCGGCACUAUCUCUUGCUUCCCCGGAUCCCCGAUGACCUAGCCGCUUCGGUUGUCCACGCACAAGGGUUCUGCUACGAAGACUCCUGCCUCGUCCCUUCCGGCGACCACGAGGAGGCAGCUGCGACGGACGAGGCUUCAUUCAGGGUGAUCUGGAUGAUGCUGCUCCCAACUAAGCCGGUGAUCUUUGUCUUCUGCUCGGGCACAGGGCAAUGGCGAACAGUUCCAUCACUGACUUGGAGCGAGAUGUCGCCUGGCUUUGUGUUAUCGACACAUGUGUUUUCUUUCCUGAGGCGCCAUUACGCCCAUGGCUGUUUCUACUGGACUUCAUGCUCCACCGAGAAAUUCCUCGCGCUCGACAUCAGGAGGAUGGAGUUCUCCGUGGCUGUCCACCCACCCUGUGAAAGAAAACCGGGUGAGAAUGUGGUGAUCGCGGAGGCAGACCAAGGCAUGAUUCUCAUGUUUGUGCCUAAGCCUAACACGUCUCCCGUUAUUUAUACUGUUUGGCGAAACAAUGGUGGGAGGUUCACCCAGUGGCAGAUGGAGAAGCCAAUCACGCUGGAUUCUGGGUCCGGCCUCAUGGGUGCAGCGGGGAGGCAUUUGCUCCUAUAUUAUUGCGGAACCUCGUCGGUCGGCCGAAGUUGUUUCACGCGGGACGUUAACACAUUCCAGCUCGAGAGGGUGUGUUCUGCAUAUCCCAAACAGACACACGCAUAUUGCAACUUCCCACCGUCGCUAUUAUCGUCACCGACAGUGUCAAUUGGCACACCCCAUGCUGACAUCUGGGAAGUGGAGGACGUUGUGCCGGUGCCUGAAGCACGAGAAGCUGGCCCUGGAGGCGUGCAAGGACCCGUCCUCGCAUCCGCCGCCCAAGCCCCAAAACCCUCGUUCGACAACAAUGGUGCGGAGGCGGGUCGUGGUGGGGCGAGAAGAUGGCGCUGGGGCUGGGGCUGGACCUGCGGAGUCUGUAGGGGGCAGGUAGCCGAGGUGUGA
rnacentral:rRNA from 1 species